GUCUAUCCCCCAGGUGUACUCCAGGCGGUCUACCCCCCCAGGUGUACUCCAGGCGGUCUACCCCCCCAGGUGUACUCCAGGCGGUCUACCCCCCCAGGUGUACUCCAGGCGGUCUACCCCCCCAGGUGUACUCCAGGCGGUCUACCCCCCCAGGUGUACUCCAGGCGGUCUACCCCCCCAGGUGUACUCCAGGCGGUCUACCCCCCCAGGUGUACUCCAGGCGGUCUACCCCCCCAGGUGUACUCCAGGCGGUCUACCCCCCAGGUGUACUCCAGGCGGUCUACCCCCCAGGUGUACUCCAGGCGGUCUACUUGUGCUCCUUGGUGGGGGCGAAGUACAGCUCCAUGGGUUUGUUCACCUUCCAGUACUUCUCACUGACAAGCUCCAGAGAGAAAGACCCGUUCAGCACCUAGAG